UAAGCGUGCUUGGGCGAGAGUAGUACUAGGAUGGGUGACCUCCUGGGAAGUCCUCGUGUUGCACCUC
rnacentral:rRNA from 1 species